UACGUAGGGUGCAAGCGUUGUCCGGAAUUAUUGGGCGUAAAGAGCUCGUAGGCGGCUUGUCACGUCGACUGUGAAAACCCGGGGCUCAACUCCGGGCCUGCAGUCGAUACGGGCUGGCUUGAGUGCGGUAGGGGAGAGCGGAAUUCCCGGUGUAGUGGUGGAAUGCGUAGAUAUCGGGAGGAACACCAGUGGCGAAAGCGGCUCUCUGGUUCAAUACUGACACUGAGAUGCGAAAGCGUGGGGAGCGAACGGG
rnacentral:rRNA from 1 species